AGCAGCCGCGGUAAUUCCAGCUCCAAUAGCGUAUAUUAAAGUUGUUGCAGUUAAAAAGCUCGUAGUUGAAUUUCGGGGUCAGUAGGUUGGUCAUGCCACUGGUAUGUACUGGUCUUACUGAUUCCUCCUUCCUGAUGAACUGUAAUGCCAUUAAUUUGGUGUUGCAGGGAAUCUGGACUGUUACUUUGAAAAAUUAGAGUGUUUAAAGCAGGCUAACGCCUGAAUACAUUAGCAUGAAAUAAUGAAAUAGGACGUUCGAUCCUAUUUUGUUGGUUUCUAGGAUUGACGUAAUGAUUAAUAGGGAUAGUUGGGGGCAUUAGUAUUCAAUUGUCAGAGGUGAAAUUCUUGGAUUUAUUGAAGACUAACUACUGCGAAAGCAUUUGCCAAGGAUGUUUUCAUUAAUCAAGAAUGAAAGUUAGGGGAUCGAAGACGAUCAGAUACCGUCGUAGU
rnacentral:rRNA from 1 species